rnacentral:rRNA from 1 species
CGAGUGGCGGACGGGUGAGUAAUGUCUGGGAAACUGCCUGAUGCAGGGGGAUAACUACCGGAAAUGUUAGCAAAUACCGCAUAACGUCGCAAGACCAAAGAGGGGGACCUUCGGGCCUCUUGCCAUCAGAUGUGCCCAGAUGGGAUUAGCUAGUAGGUGGGGUAACGGCUCACCUAGGCGACGAUCCCUAGCUGGUCUGAGAGGAUGACCAGCCACACUGGAACUGAGACACGGUCCAGACUCCUACGGGAGGCA